GCGCUUGGAAAGCGUCGGUCGUCGCCCUAUAUUCCAACCGUCCGGUUUCGGCCGGACUAUGGCGAUAAACGCGCUUGUAAUAAGCGGACCGGACCCGGGUGCGAUUCCCGGCGGCUCCACCAACUUUCUCCCCGCGUUAUCGGCGGAGGAGGCAUGGGGCCGACUAGCAUCGACGGACGUGUAAAGAGGAUUGCUUUCGCUCGUCCUGGCCCACCGUAUCGGGCCAUUUUCUAACUGCGAACGAUAACUUCGCUGGAGAAGUCGCUCUCGCCGCGUAAUGCGGUUCGAGUGAUUUCGAAUCUUAAGUCCUAGGGGUUCAGAUCCUUGGGCGGGGCCUGUCGGGAGCCUGGCAACAGAAUCCCGGCGCU
rnacentral:tmRNA from 1 species